ACCGAACGGCUAGAACGCAGGCUAGGCGUCUGAUUACCAUAGGUCUAGACACUUCCUUGUGUCUAUGAAAUGUGGAACAGAAAACAUUCUAGCUAAAACAAUCAUCAGUAGCGAGGGGUCCAGUAACCAGGCCUCUAGUCCCGUAGUCUAGACCCGGAGUCUAGAUGUCCAGUAACCGGACUUGUACAACGUGUAUAGGACUGUCUAGAUGUCCAGUAAUCAAUAUGAAUACUGAAAAGGGUAUUUACAAAAAGAAGACGUAUUUCAUCUUUAAAAACGGGAAAUGAUUUCUUAAGUUCGCUCUUGUAUUUUUCUUGUCAUUUACAUUGUAAGUGAAAGGAAACAUAAGUCUUUAUAAUUCUUUAGCCUCGGGGUUUGGGGAAAUACAAUUGCAAAUUCGAUAAAUAAUAAAUAGAAAUGUGUACGCCGUAAUUGGAAGCUUUUAUUAAUUCAGUCUCGGGACUGAUGAACUGAAAUAAUAAACCUAAUGUUUUCCUUAGUAUUUAAGGCAUGGAUUGUUAAAUUUGUUUUACUGCUUGAUCAAUUAAAUAAAUAAUGAUGACUGCCCUAAAUCGCUGUUAAAAUUUCAUAUUCAAGUAUAUGCCCCGAACCGAAGUCAGAGUUAAUUAUAAAUAAAAUAAAAUUUACAAAAAUACGUGAUAACAGCUACUUUAUGACAAUCAUAAUUUUUACCAGCAAUUACUUUAAACAUUUCAUUACUGCCGUGAUAUAAAAAUGUAUCUAAGAACUUAAAUGUUUAAUAUAAAUAAACGUCUGACUGGUCUACAUAUUGUACAAGUCUUUUGAUUUGAAAUGUACUUUUGGUUUGAACCUGUACGGUUGUGCUUUAUCUUACUUCCUACAUAGCUUGCAGAAAGCAAAACUAGGUUCAUUGUCUGUUUUCUAAGCAAAGGAAAAUCUAGUUCCGAAGCGUUAUUAUAUUUUGACGAAUAAUUCUUCUUUUUUCUGGCGUCUUUAUUUGUUUUAGUGUCGGUCAAGGUCAAGUGUGCGAAUGAUUCCAAUACUUUUCCGACAUUGCAACGUCCACGAAUAGCAUACAUAGUAACCAGUCAGUAAAUAUCGAUGAUUUACUUAAUUUGCUCGUAGUCAUAUGGAAAUGUAUCAAUUUGAUUGGUACAAUCUCUCUCAGGAAGCUUUGGGAACAGCUAAAUUUCAUCUGUUAAGUAAUCCGUAUAUAUUGAAAAUGACACUUGACAUAUGUUUACUGUUUAUUGGCAUCUCAAUAACGAUGCCAGAUGGCAAAUUAGACAAAAUAUGUGGUCUACAAAUUUAAGGUCUGCUUUUUUAGAAAGCGUGAGAAAAUGCUCCAAAUUAGUUAAGUCAUGAUCAAACCUUGAAUUCGUGAGAAUCACGAUUCAAGCGUCAGACUUGACAGGUCUGAUUAUUGAUAAUCUGACCUCUAGCCACUUCCAAAAAAUCAGCUUCAGAGAUAUUUAUAUGCUAUAGCUGAAACGAAUCCCGUGUUGAAACCUUAUUAGAAAUCUACCCUAAAAUAUGUUGUGCUAUAAUUUCAUCGGCCGAAAUGCCAUGAAGUGAUGAACUUUCACUUUGACAAAUCUGUACAUGGUAAGGAUUUUUUUCUGUGGACACUGAACAGUCAACUCAAGUUCUUCAACCAUGAAAUCCUCGAAAGUAAGUCCUCCGCGAAUUUUAAUGAUUUCACAGUAAUCGGCCGCCAUAUUGAAAAUGCUGUAUUUUUUCCUGACGACCAUAUCAAAGUACUUCCAGAAGCUGACUUCAUUAGAAACUUACAGGCUUUAUCGUUUGCAAGCAGUGUGACAAUUAAUAAGUCAUAUUUUUGCGUAUUUUAUUUUAAAUAUAUCACGACAUGCAAAUCCGAGAGUAUUGAUCAUGUUCAAGUUGAUGUGCUGGUGGCCAAAGAAAUGUAUAAAGAUAAAGUACGACCCUUGGUAUUUAUUGUUUGAGAGCGAUUACCGGUUUUGCACAUUUGAAACCUAAUUAUCCUAGUCCUACUAAAUAUGGCCGAUUCUCACCUAUUCCGGUUACGGAAAUCACUUUUAAUUAGUAACCGAGUACUCGGUAAAAAAAUCGGCGAGUACUCUAGUAUCAAACUCAUUGCCAUUCUUAAUGUUAUAAAUCAUUUAAUGGGUACCAUGAUACUGAAGACUUCUGGGUUGUUGUAUCCUAGGAAGUUGUUCUUUGAAAUUGUGCAGUCCCGAAUUUGAAGACUGGUUACAUUUUCAUUUUAAAUGUAUACAUUAUUUCUUAAGUAUGUAACAGUUGUUUUGUUUGUUUUCAGAAAACAUUUCUACAGGACUACAUUUAUGUGCAGAAGGAUUAAUAAUACUCCAGACAAGUCAGCCAUGACAGAUCUGUAUGAAGUAUGGAAAAUGAUUGUAAACAUUGAUGAACAGGAAAUAAGUUCAUCAUUCAUGAUAAUUGCUUUCUGAUGGACUUGGAUAGACUGUCAAACUAAACGUACAAUGCAGCCAUUGCUGUAACUUUGUUGGGGAAAUUAACAGUUCAUGGCGAACACAUAUACAUGUGUAUAAUGCAAAAUCUUUAAAGUGAAGUAUCUCGUCAGCCAUAGGGUUUACAGCCAUAGGGUUUACAGCAAUUCAAUUUCAUAGGCUUAUAUCGGAUAACAAGUUCAGAAGAUAUUGAUGAUAACAUACAAUACACUGGUUUUCCAACUAAUUGAAGAAUAAAUGUUUGUUUAAAGUAUGGAGGGCCACCAAAACGGAUGAUGAAGAACAUCGUGGAGCUGAAAAGACAAAUCAGCUAUCGAAACGUCUCUUCAAAAAAAAACAUUACAGAAACAAACUUUGAAUAUGGUACUCCUAUAAAGACCAAAAUUAAUAUCUAAAUCGACUUUCAUGGACCAUGCUCAAGAAAUAUUUAAGAAUAAGACUUGCAGCACUGUAUCUCUAGCCAAGAAGCAAAAGUGUAUUAUAAUAGAGACAACAUUAGAAUAGCAGUGAAAAUAUAAGAAAUGAAUAAGUAUUGUUACAUUUGCAGUGAAAAUAUAACAAAAGAAAAAUGUAUGUUCGCAUGUCGUCAGGUUGGUAAUAAAUUUGAAAUGAUAAAAGUGUA